UGCCUUUGUAAGAAACCAAACCUUUGUGGACGUGGAUGGACCUGGAAACCAUCAUUCUCAGCAAACUGACACAAGAACUGAAAAUCAAACACCAUAUGUUCUCACUUAAAGGCGGGUGUUGAACAAUGAGAACACAUGGACACGGGGUGGGGGAGCAUCACACACUGAGAAAUUCUGGUUUUAAUUAUAAUGGAAAGCUCUCAAAGAUGGAUGCAUUAUCUUUUUAUACUGGACCUUUUGCCACUCCACCAUCAAGAGAUAGGACAACAAUACCCUGGAAUCUAACAAAAAUGUGA
rnacentral:lncRNA from 1 species